rnacentral:rRNA from 1 species
AACGAACGCUGGCGGCAUGCCUAACACAUGCAAGUCGAACGAGACCCUCGGGGGUCGUGGCGCACACGGGUGUGAAGCGCGGGGACAUCCCCUUUGGUGUGCGAAAUAUCAGUUAGAGAUGACUGCAAACAGCGGAAGAUGACGGGACGAAAAAUGUUUUGUCGCCUGAGGAUGAGCCCGCGUAGGAUUAGCUAGUUGGUGUGGUAAAGGCGUACCAAGGCGACGAUCCGUAGCUGGUCUGAGAGGAUGAUCAGCCACACUGGGACUGAGACACGGCCCAGACUCCUACGGGAGGCAGCAGUGGGGAAUAUUGGACAAUGGGCGCAAGCCUGAUCCAGCAAUGCCGCGUGAGUGAUGAAGGCCUUAGGGUUGUAAAGCUCUUUUACCCGGGAUGAUAAUGACAGUACCGGGAGAAUAAGCCCCGGCUAACUCCGUG